rnacentral:ncRNA from 1 species
AAAAAUGCGAUGAAGAGAAGAGUAAAUGAAAUCAAAUCAUAACAGAGAGCUCCAAAUGCUGAAAAGGAGCAUGAUUUAUUUCAUUGAAACAAGCCUCAGAGCAUCACGUUGGAUUCCGGUAGAUGAUGGCGUGACAGGUGCUCCUGUUAUAGAGCUAAAGUAUAAGCAAUUUUUUGCCGUACUUAAAGAGGUUAAUAUGGUGACAUAUUGACAAACUGGGGUGGCACCGCGAUUAUAAAAUAUCCAAAACUCGCCCCCAAG